CCUCAGUAGUUAGAUAACAAAACUACUCGCCAGAAUACUACGAGCUACAGCUUAAAACUCAAAGGACUUGGCGGUGCUUUACACCCCCUAGAGGAGCCUGUUCCGUAAUCGAUAAACCCCGAUCCACCCCACCCUCUCUUGCUCAGCCUAUAUACCGCCAUCUUCAGCAAACCCUAAUGAAGGUCACAAAGUGAGCGCAAACGCCGUCACCGCGAGUACGUUAGGUCAAGGUGUAGCCUAUGAGAUGGUAAAAAAUGGGCUACAUUUUCUACCUCAGAAAAUUCCACGAAAACCCUUAUGAAAUCUAAGGGCCCAAGGAGGAUUUAGCAGUAAAUUAAGAAUAGAGUGCUUAAUUGAACCAGGCCAUAAAGCG
rnacentral:rRNA from 1 species